AUUGAACGCUGGCGGCAGGCCUAACACAUGCAAGUCGAGCGAGCGGCGGACGGGUGAGUAAUGUAUGGGGACUGCCCGAUAGAGGGGGAUAACUACUGGAAACGGUGGCUAAUACGGCAUACUGUCGGAUAACCCAUAUGGGAUUAGCUAGUAGGUAAGGUACUGGCUUAACUAGGCGACGAUCCCUAGCUGGUCUGAGAGGUGGAUCAGCCACACUGGGACUGAGACACGGCCCAGACUCCCACGGAGGCAGCAGUGGGGAAUAUUGCACAAUGGGCGCAAGCCUGAUGCAGCCAUGCCGCGUGUAUGAAGAAGGCCCUAGGGUUGUAAAGUACUUUCAGUCGGGAAGCGUUACCGACAGAAGAAGCACCGGCUAACUCCGUGCCAGCAGCCGCGGUAAUAC
rnacentral:rRNA from 1 species